UACGUAGGGGGCAAGCGUUGUCCGGAAUCAUUGGGCGUAAAGCGCGCGUAGGCGGCCCGGUAAGUCCGCUGUGAAAGUCAAAGGCUCAACCUUUGAAUGCCGGUGGAUACUGUCGGGCUAGAGUCCGGAAGAGGCGAGUGGAAUUCCUGGUGUAGCGGUGGAAUGCGCAGAUAUCAGGAGGAACACCGAUGGCGAAGGCAGGUCUCUGGGCAUUAACUGACGCUGAGGCACGAAAGCGUGGGGAGCAAACAGG
rnacentral:rRNA from 1 species